UUUUAAAACAAUGUUAAAUGCCAACUAGAC
rnacentral:piRNA from 1 species